UCAUCUUCUCCAGCCUUAUCCCGCCGCCGCUCUGCUUCUGAAGAAAGAAAAAUCAGGCCGCCGUUCCCUCGUCCUCCUUAUCUCCUAUGCGCACAGGGUCCUUAUCCGGUGGUCGUCGCCCAGUUCCCAUCGUCUUCCCCAGCAGCGCUUGACCGCCCUCCCUGUUCGCCCAUCAUUUCCUCCUCUCCAGCCGCCUAACCGCCCUCUGGGGUUUUUUUAGCCGCCGCCCGCUGUUCUUUUUAUACGCACGCAGCCUUCUUCAACCUCCAGCGCUGUGUCCGGUUCCCUACACUGCCGAGCGGCUCGCCGGACUGCGCCGCAACUCCCUCUCCUGCUUCUCUCUUGCGGCCCUCUCCUUCUCCCUCUGCUUGACCGCGUCCCCCAUGGCGCUCGGUCGCCCGACCACCGAUUCCUCCUCCCUGCGCGCAGGAUCCUCCUCGGCUUCAUCUCCCUGCUUCCUGUUCCAGCUCCUGCGCUCCCAGAUUUUUCUCCUGCGCGUUUCUCUCUCGCGCGGAUCUCUCUCCUCCCCGGCGUUUCUCUCUGUUGCUCCACGCCAUGGCAUCUCCCUGCUCGCUCGCGCUCUGCCAAGCUUGCCCCUGCGCGCGCUCUGCUCACCAUUCCAAGCUCGCCUUGCUCCCUGCUGCUCGCCCGGUCGAGCUCCCUGACCGCCGCGCCGUGAAUUUUCCUGCGGGCGCAUGUCUCCUUGUGCACGCGUCGCCGUCGAGUUCUCUAGUGUUUACGUACCAUGAAGUUCCUCCAGCGUCGUGGCUUCCCAAUUCCUUCUAGUCGCACGCGCGAAUUUUCUUUGCUCGGCUUUAACUCCCAAUCGCGUCGUCGAUCUCGUCGUUUGCCGUCGAGUCGUCAAACACGUCAUCCCCGGCUCGAUCCUCACCUCACCAGCUUAUCCCAGACUUCAAUCGAAGGUCGUCGUCGUUCGUGCAUCCCCAAGAAAACCUAAGAAUCGGGUGAAGACGAAGUUAGCAGCGCGAUUUUUCCCAAGCGCUCAACCAAUUGCCUCGAUCGGAAAAUCGCUACCGAUCUCGCGGAUUCGAGUUAGCUGUUGAAACGGUACGUUAAUUAAUCGCGCGAUGCGGAAGACGAGCCAAGUCGACCUCAAGUGCGGGCUAAUCCGCAGGAUGAUGCUGAUGGACGAACCGGAAGAUGGAUAAUCUGAACAAUGCCAACACAAAAGGCUGAUCGUCAAGUGGUCGUCGUCUAACAACACUAACCUAGUGUUACCCAGGCAAGCCCCGGUGCAUUUUCCACCUCCUUGCUAUUUUAAAAUCUUUUAUCACCUUGUUUGAUACAUUAGGUGAUAGGAGUUGUGUGUUAAACCGUUGAUGCAUUUCCUUCCUUGAAAAUUGAUUACCCUUCCUUGA